GAUGAACGCUGGCGGCGUGCCUAAUACAUGCAAGUCGAGCGAACGGACGAGAAGCUUGCUUCUCUGAUGUUAGCGGCGGACGGGUGAGUAACACGUGGAUAACCUACCUAUAAGACUGGGAUAACUUCGGGAAACCGGAGCUAAUACCGGAUAAUAUUUUGAACCGCAUGGUUCAAAAGUGAAAGACGGUCUUGCUGUCACUUAUAGAUGGAUCCGCGCUGCAUUAGCUAGUUGGUAAGGUAACGGCUUACCAAGGCAACGAUGCGUAGCCGACCUGAGAGGGUGAGCGGCCACACUGGAACUGAGACACGGUCCAGACUCCUACGGGAGGCAGCAGUAGGGAAUCUUCCGCAAUGGGCGAAAGCCUGACGGAGCAACGCCGCGUGAGUGAUGAAGGUCUUCGGAUCGUAAAACUCUGUUAUUAGGGAAGAACAUAUGUGUAAGUAACUGUGCACAUCUUGACGGUACCUAAUCAGAAAGCCACGGCUAACUACGUG
rnacentral:rRNA from 1 species